AUUGAACGCUGGCGGCAUGCCUUACACAUGCAAGUCGAACGGCAGCACGGGUGCUUGCACCUGGUGGCGAGUGGCGAACGGGUGAGUAAUACAUCGGAACAUGUCCUGUAGUGGGGGUUAGCCCGGCGAAAGCCGGAUUAAUACCGCAAACGAUCUACUGAUGAAAGCGGGGGACCUUCGGGCCUCGCGCUAUAGGGUUGGCCGAUGGCUGAUUAGCUAGUUGGUGGGGUAAAGGCCUACCAAGGCGACGAGCAGUAGCUGGUCUGAGAGGACGACCAGCCACACGGGAACUGAGACACGGACCAGACUCCUACGGGAGGCAGCAGUGGGGAAUGUUGGACAAUGGGCGAAAGCCUGAUCCAGCAAGGCCGCGUGUGUGACGAAGGCCUUCGGGUUGUAAAGCACUUUUGUCCGGAAAGAAAUCCUUGGCCCUAAUACGGUCGGGGGAUGACGGUACCGGAAGAAUAAGCACCGGCUAACUACGUG
rnacentral:rRNA from 1 species